GAUGAACGCUAGCGGCAGGCCUAACACAUGCAAGUCGAGGGGUAGCAGGAUUAAGCUUGCUUAAUUGCUGACGACCGGCGCACGGGUGCGUAACGCGUAUGCAACCUACCUUAUACUGGGGUAUAGCCCGGAGAAAUUCGGAUUAAUCCCCCAUAGUACUAAUGAAUCGCAUGGUUUAUUAGUUAAAGCAUUGCGGUAUAAGAUGGGCAUGCGUCCUAUUAGCUAGAUGGUGAGGUAACGGCUCACAAUGGCUACGAUAGGUAGGGGGCCUGAGAGGGUGGUCCCCCACACUGGUACUGAGACACGGACCAGACUCCUACGGGAGGCAGCAGUGAGGAAUAUUGGUCAAUGGGCGCAAGCCUGAACCAGCCAUGCCGCGUGCAGGAAGAAUGCCCUAUGGGUUGUAAACUGCUUUUAUUUGGGAAUAAACCUCUUUACGUGCAGAGAGCUGAAGGUACCAAAUGAAUAAGCACCGGCUAACUCCGUGCCAGCAGCCGCAGUAA
rnacentral:rRNA from 1 species